AUGGCGCUGAACGAGAGCCUCGCCAGGUUCCGGCUGCUGCAGGAGAAGAACCAGGCGGCUCUGUCCGCCAUCGCCGCAAUCAGGACCUCAUCAUCAUCAUCAUCGUCCACUAAGCCGUCCCAGCGGCAGGCCGCUCCAACUCCACGGCCGGCGGCUAAACCAUCCCCGUCCCCGCCCGCGCCCAUGCCUGCCGCCGUCGUCAGGUUCUCCGAUGACACGGCGCGGCUACGGAAGAUCAACGAGGUGAGGACGUCCACCGUCGGGCACCAGAUGAAAAGCGUGAUCGACCUGCUCGACAAGACGAGGGAAGCUCUUACGACGCAUCAGAUCAACCAACGGACCUACGUCGACAUCGACGGCAACCGGACCCUCGCCGAGAGCCUGAGGAACAACCCCAAAGUGCGCUUCGACGGGCGGCGCUACUCCUACAAGCCCACACACGACGUCAAGGCCAAAGGCGAGCUGCUCUCGCUCAUCAGAAGCUUCCCCGACGGCCUCCCGGCGUCCGAGGUGGAUGACGCCUAUCCAGCCGUCUUGGAAGAUCUGCAGGCCCUCAAAUCCUCGGGCGACGUCUAUCUGCUGCCGGGGGAGGUAGGCAUCAUCGCGUACCCGAACGACGACCCGAGGUCGAGGAUGGAGGUGGACGGCGAGCUCAAGAAGCUGUUCCACGACAUCAAGCUCCCGCGGGAGAUGCUCGACAUCGAGAAGGAGCUUCGGAAGAUCGGCGAGAGGCCAGCCACCGACACUGUGAAGCGGCGCGCGGUGGAGCAGCUCCAUGGCCGGCAGCCGAAGCCCAAGAAGGCCAAGAAGAAGUCGCGCGGGAUCACCAGCAGGACCAAGCUCACCAACGUUCAUCUCCCGUGGCUCAUGGACCUGCCUGUCGACUCGAAAGAUAUCAUCUAA
rnacentral:rRNA from 1 species